rnacentral:rRNA from 1 species
AGCAGGCGCGCAAAUUACCCAAUCCCGACACGGGGAGGUAGUGACAAUAAAUACUGAUACAGGGCUCUUUUGGGUCUUGUAAUUGGAAUGAGUACAAUUUAAACCUCUUAACGAGGAACAAUUGGAGGGCAAGUCUGGUGCCAGCAGCCGCGGUAAUUCCAGCUCCAAUAGCGUAUAUUAAAGUUGUUGCAGUUAAAAAGCUCGUAGUUGAAACUUGGGUCUGGCUGGCAGGUCCGCCUCACCGCGUGUACUUGUCCGGCCGGGCCUUCCUUCUGGAGAACCUCAUGCCCUUCACUGGGCGUGUUGGGGACCAGGACUUUUACUUUGAAAAAAUUAGAGUGUUCAAAGCAGGCCUUUGCUCGAAUACGUUAGCAUGGAAUAAUAGAAUAGGACGUGCGGUCCUAUUUUGUUGGUUUCUAGGACCGCCGUAAUGAUUAAUAGGGACAGUCGGGGGCAUCAGUAUUCAAUUGUCAGAGGUGAAAUUCUUGGAUUUAUUGAAGACUAACUACUGCGAAAGCAUUUGCCAAGGAUGUUUUCAUUAAUCAGUGAACGAAAGUUAGGGGAUCGAAGACGAUCAGAUACCGUCGUAGUCUUAACCGUAAACUAUGCCGACUAGGGAUCGGGCGAUGUUCUUUUUCUGACUCGCUCGGCACCUUACGAGAAAUC